rnacentral:rRNA from 1 species
AUUGAACGCUGGCGGCAGGCCUAACACAUGCAAGUCGAACGAGUGGCGGACGGGUGAGUAAUGUCUGGGAAACUGCCUGAUGGAGGGGGCUAACUACUGGAAACGGUAGCUAAUACCGCAUACCAUCGGAUGUGCCCAGAUGGGAUUAGCUGGUAGGUGGGGUAACGGCUCACCUAGGCGACGAUCCCUAGCUGGUCUGAGAGGAUUCCCAGCCACACUGGAACGGAGGCACGGUCCAGACUACUACGGGAGGCAGCAGUGGGGAAUAUUGCACAAUGGGCGAAAGCCUGAGGCAGCCAUGCCGCGUGUAUGAAGAAGGUCUUCGGGUGGUAAAGUACUUUCAGCGGGGAGGCGUUACCCGCAGAAGAAGCACCGGCUAACUCCGUGCCAGCCGCCGCGGUAAUUC